GUUAAUGCUCAUGUGAAGAAAGAGAUAACGCUAAGUUAAUGACUUUUAAGAAUGGAGUUCACAUUGAGGAGAGGCAAUUAGUAGGAAGGUUGAGUAGGUAAGGAGAGAGAUCAAAGGAAAAUAAUUCUGAGUACACAUGAGUUAUCCUUAGCAUAGAGAUUAUAAUAGAUUGCCAAAGAAGGACUGAACCAUUUGUAUUACAGCUGUAUGAGAGCAUAGGAAGCACAGUAAAU